rnacentral:rRNA from 1 species
UACGUAGGCAGCGAGCGUUGUUCGGAAUUACUGGGCGUAAAGGGCGCGUAGGCGGCUCAUGAAGGCUGUGGUGAAAGUCCGGGCUCAACCUCGGAUCGGCCGUGGCGACUCGUGGGCUGGAGCACUGUAGAGGCGGGUGGAAUUCCGGGUGUAGCGGUGGAAUGCGUAGAGAUCCGGAAGAACACCAGUGGCGAAGGCGGCCCGCUGGGCAGUGGCUGACGCUGAGGCGCGACAGCGUGGGGAGCAAACAGG